UACGGAGGGAGCUAGCGUUAUUCGGAAUUACUGGGCGUAAAGCGCACGUAGGCGGCUUUGUAAGUAAGAGGUGAAAGCCUGGAGCUCAACUCCAGAAUAGCCUUUUAGACUGCAUCGCUUGAAUCAUGGAGAGGUGAGUGGAAUUCCGAGUGUGGAGGUGAAAUUCGUAGAUAUUCGGAAGAACACCAGUGGCGAAGGCGGCUCACUGGACAUGUAUUGACGCUGAGGUGCGAAAGCGUGGGGAGCAAACAGG
rnacentral:rRNA from 1 species